rnacentral:rRNA from 1 species
ACCGCCCGUCGUUUCAUCGAUGUUGGCCUUUAGUGAGGUAGUGUCGUCAUUGGCAUUAUCGAGCUUGAGGUCAGUGACGGAGGGAA